UACGAAGGGGGCUAGCGUUGUUCGGAAUCACUGGGCGUAAAGGGCGCGUAGGCGGCUUUUCAAGUCGGGGGUGAAAGCCUGUGGCUCAACCACAGAAUUGCCUUCGAUACUGUUAGGCUUGAGACCGGAAGAGGUGAGUGGAACUGCGAGUGUAGAGGUGAAAUUCGUAGAUAUUCGCAAGAACACCAGUGGCGAAGGCGGCUCACUGGUCCACAACUGACGCUGAGGAGCGAAAGCGUGGGGAGCGAACAGG
rnacentral:rRNA from 1 species